UUUUUUUUUUCUUUUUUAAUUCUUAAAAAUGAAUUGAUUAAAAUUUGAAUCAUCCAACAAAGAAAUGGUAUGGAAGACAAUAGAGUAUUAUCAAAUUAGAAAUUAUUGUUUAUCAUAUAUUUGGAACUUAGACCAGUUUCGUUCUUCGCCAGAUAGACUAUUGGUUUCAUUACAAUUAAAAAUUUUGCCUUGAGUCAUUAUUUUUUAUAAUUUAUUUUGAGGACAUACAAAUAUUAUUUAAUGCUAUAUCCUUUUAAAAUGUAUGCAUUGAAAUAGUUGUUAAUGUUGAAUUCAAAGUAUCUGAAACAGCACUGUUUUAGGGAUAAUGAAUUAUAAUGAUAAAAAGAGAAUGACAGAAGAAAAUAUAGAUACAUACAUAGACAAUUUUCAUACUGGAAUAUUAAAAAGCACUUAUAUUGACAAUCUCUUGGCUUCCCAAGUGACAUUCUAAUUUAUAUUUGAUUCUCUUAAACAGAUGGAAUCUCAAAAGUUGCUCUAAUGCAUUCAACCAUAUUACAUUAUCACCCAUUUUAUUGGCAACAUAAUUGUUAACUCACUAUGAAUAUUCAUAUAACUUGGUUAAGUAGAAUUUCAUAUAAUUUGAAAUUUUGUGUAUGCUUUAUUCAGCAUCCAAUCAAGAAAACAAAAAUCAAUACAAGCAUUUAAAUGGAAGGAAUUUAAUAUAUGGCAUUGGUUGCAACAGAUAAUAGAGCUACUAUGAAGCCAAGCAAUGGACUGUGAUUCACACCAGAAAAUAAAGGGGGAAAUAGCAGGAAGCCACUACAGGAACAAAGGAAGACAGAAGUGUUAAUGAAGCUCGAAGCUAGGGUGGUGUAGCGAAAACUAGAAAUGUACCAGCCUGUCUGGCUAGGGGAAGAGCCAUAAAUUUAAGAUGGCAUUGGAAAGGGAAAGAAAGCAGAAACACUCUGUCUCUCAACUUCCACCUUCCACUUUGCUGCCUGUGUUUCCCACUGCCAGAGAAGCAUGAAGCCAGCUGACCUGGGAGCCUAGGAAAUGGUGCUAUGUGCUGUAGUUUGAGGCUCAUGCAACUUCCCCAUGCCUUCUAAAGAGGCUUGAAUCUAAUAUUUGAUCAGUUAUUUCCACUUUAUGAAAUAUUUCUCCUGAACACAUAAAAAUAUUAUUUCUUGGUAUUCCAGAUGACAUCAAAUAAUUGUGACAAGCAGUUCAGUUCACAUCAUUUAGAUUUCCCUCAGUCAAGCAUGAAUUUUCUACCAGGGUUGAUUGGCUCUAAGGUGCUGCCUAGUAGGCAAAGGCAUGGCUUUACCUCAAAAUCCUAGGGAUCUCUGAAACAGUUUUCUUUUAGGAUUUGCAAAUGGAUUUAUUUACCACAGCCAUUUUAAGCACCAUUAGGUCUACUAGUUCCUAAGACCUGAGUGUCCUGAUAAUUUGUAGAAUAGCCUGAAAUUACUUCAAAGCCUUCCUUUAUUCUGGGCCCCUCUCAUACCUAACAACAUGGUGGGUUCUAUGGAACAUGGAUCAGAACAAAAAGUACAAAUAUAGAAUAUAUUGACUCUGAAAUUGAAACAGAUCUACCAACAAUACAAAAACCUGUCUUUUAUUUUAAAGGAGGACAUUCUCAAAAUACCCAGAACCCCGAUCCCCUAGGAAAUUCACUGAUGAGACAGGCAUCUCAAUUUUCACAGGGUUUAUCUGAUAUAUAUGUCUUACUCUUAUUUUUGCUUCUUCCCAUGCAUCGAGUCUAAUCAAAUUUUCUAUCCUUUAUGCUAUUGAAUUUACUUCAAGGCUGAAGAUCAAGGAACAAUUGGAUUACUGACUAAUCCUAUACUGAAAUUCCUUACUGUGGAGUUGUAUUAUCUUAACUUUCUUUUGUCUAAUCAAAAGCAAUUGUAAAAAGUUCUCCAGAAGAACAUAGAAGUUGAAAAAAGACAGUAACACUUUUAACAGCAGUAGUUACAGAGCUAGUUUCUUAAAACAGGUCAUCAAACUAUAAGAUGUCUUAUCCUAAGGGAGGAACAUGAUAUCUAUCCCAAAUAGGAGGAAGGAUUAGCUUAAAGGGAGAGAAAUUUUAGACAAUGAGUGAGAGGUCAAAAGACUGCACAUGAGACUGCAAAUCCCAGCACAGAUUUUGUGGAGUUACGGACUAUUGUAGGGUUUAGAUUUUCUUUGUUUCUCACCUCUAGACCCAGAUUUAAAGGGCUCAUGAGAUUAGGUCAGUCCUGCUUAGAUAAUCUCUCUUUUGAUUAGCUCAAAGUCAAUGAAUCAGUACUCUUAAUUCUGUAAAACCUCUUUUGCUGUAUAAUGAGUAGUAACUUCUUACAGUUAUAAAUUUCACCCACACAGAAGGAAAGGAGAUGACAUGUAUAAGAGCAAGGGUCACUGGGGUCAUUUUAAUAUUCUUGCUACCACAGUUUCCUUCUUUCUUUGCAUUUCCCUUGAGCUAAAAUUAUAGAUGUUUGUCUUUCAUGUCUGUUUGAAAAGAAUCACCAAAUAGUAAUUUGUGCUGUCUUACUACCUUAUGGUGCUUUUGUCCAUUCUCCCUUGGUUGAAUGUAGAGGCUCCCAAGCUAGGAUAUUCGUAUGAUACAAGUUCUGUGAAGAAUUUUUGUCAAGAAGGUCAGUUCUCCUAGGGGUUAUGGAUGACCUAUUCAAAUGUCAAACAUUCACAAGAAUAGGAGGGAAGGAUGACCAAAACUAAGAUUUGUUUAUUUGAAAACUGAUUGAUUCAGUCUCUCCUGAUUGGCUACUUCUGAUAUUGUUUGUUUCUCAUCUUCAUGCCAGAAAUGAGAUUUUUAAGAAAUGUUUAUUCCUUUUUAAAGAGAUAAAACCCAGGGACAUCAAUGUAUACUUUUGAACAUUACUUGUUGGUGGGACAUUUUUCCAUCUUUUAUAUGUGACCACUUGGUUGCCUCAAAUUUAUAAAACCUCCCAAGUUACUACAAAUCAGUUUAAUAGUUGCUUUUCUUUCUGAUUCCUUAGGAUAUCAGAAAUGCACUCAAUAUAAAAAGGACAAUCCUGAUCUGCUAUCAAAAUAUUUUCAUAAACUUUCAGGUAGGGGUUUUCUCAUACUAAAUAACUUGAGUGCCUUUGAGCUAGUGAGAACAUUCUUUUCUCAUCUUUAACACUUGGGGGCCUUGGAAAAGAUCUCAAAGCACCCAGUACCUUGGUUUAUUAAGUGUAGAGUUAGAAAAGAGAAGAGAUAGAGGUAUUUAGAAGAUAGAUAAAAGGGUCUAGAAGAGUACUGCUGAAGAAAACAAACAAACAAGAAAAAUUUGUAUUUAUCCUAAGUAGGUCUUCAAUUAAUUGGCCAUCUCACAGGUGAGGAACUUAAAAACAUUACAGCUCCAUGUUCUAGUCUCAGCUGUCAUACAGUGAAGGAGAUGGACCAGCAGUACUAGUGGUUUAAAAACAUAUCUCUCCCUCCAUAGUUAUCUGACCACUUGUCCCUAUGUUGUUCUAAAGUUGUAAGAAGUUGCAGUAGACCACCCUUUAAGUGGGGUAAAAUAAUCAAAACAUUAGUUAAUGGGAUUAUACUGUUGCAGUUCAUAUUCGUAUCUUGAAAGUAGUAACAAUCGGACCCCCAUGCACAUUUCCCACACCUUUAAAUACAGAAAAACUCGCAAACCAUUCUGCCUGGCAAAAUACACAUUAAUUUUCUCUGCUUAAAUUCUUAGGAGUAUUUUUCAGAGCAUGCGUCAGUCAUUUAAAUGAAACUUUGGUAUUUAUUCACUAUAGCUAUCAAAUUUGCUCCCAGAGUUUGCUUUGAAUAUAUCCUCUUUCUUACUCUUCUGAGUGGCACAACCAAAAGCAGUGUGGGGUUUUUCAAUAAAGCCAAGACAGAGAGAAUCAGAUGCUGAUUCAUAAAACAACCAAGGAAAACAAGCUGGAUAAGCAGAAAUACAUUGCAGAGCCAAUUCACAGUCCAACAGAGCUGAGACAAAGCAGCCAGGUAUGGCACAGCUCCCACUGAGGUGGUCCUAUUUUAAGCAAAGCCCAGACCUUGUGAAUAGAGUCCAUUAUUUCUUCCUAUUUUCAUUCAAUAGAAACUGAGCAAAGCAGAUUCCAGUUGCAUCAGUGAAUUAGAUCAAGCUAAACUGGAUGGAUUUUACAUGGGCAAAGUAUGACAAAGCAGGCAAGUGCAAUCUUGGAGAGAGAGUGAUAGAAAGAAAGAGGGCCAAAUCAUUUAAAAUUUGAUUUUGGUUUACUUUCCCAUUUGAUUAAAAUAGAUUUCAAAGUAUCCAAGAGAAACAAAUGAGACAUUCUAAGAUCAAUUUAAAAUUUGGCAGAAGCACGCAAGGCAGAAGUUCAAACUGCAGAGCCAUCCAGGAACAACUUAAGUUUUGCAAAAUCAUUUAGAUUGUCUAAGUUCUAGUUCCUAAUAUACUCUAUAGCUGUUUAAUCUGUGUUGCAAAUAUUUUCAUUUUCCAAAUGUUAUUUUACCCCACAAACUGUUGUUAGAGAAAUUUUUUUGUAGAGAAAAUUUUCUUCCCAAAUCAACAUUUGUGUAUGUGUGUGGUUUUUCUUUGUAAAUUUUCGAGAGUUUCUCUAGACAUAGUUUUUGUUGUUGUUGUUGUUUUUUAUAGUUAACAUUAGCAUGUGUAAGUAUCUUUUAAAAGCUAGUGUCAAUUUAAUCCAAUUGCAAACUUAAGUUUCUCUUUCAUAUUAUUUAGGUGUAAGAAAGGUAGAAUAUAUUCCUAAAACUGUUAGUUGUCUUUCCAAUUUUUAUUUUUUAUUGAAAUAUAGUUGAUUUACAAUAUAGUAUUAGUUUCAGGGAUACAGCAAAGUAAUUCAGUUAUACAUAUACAUAUAUCCAUUCUUUUUUGACAUGGCUCCUUUGAGAAGCAUAGGUAAACCCAUAUCUCCAGCAUCACCUGAAAUACAUAGCACAAGAGACUGUUCAACCCAACUCUGUGUGUUUGCUCUCAGAACCCUGAGAACUUGUCCUGGUCAGUGGCCCACACAUUCAUUUCUUUUUUGCUUUCUCAUUACCUUCUUGCCACAAUUGAGGGUUUGCCAGUCUUAUGUUUCAGAAGAACAGCUUCAUAUAAAAAGCCAGACAUAAGCAUUAAACCAAGAAAGGUGUAUUAGCUUCACUGCUUUGUCUUAUUGGCUUCCUGGGAAAUAAUAAGACAUAAUCAGUUGGCAUAACAUUCAAGUAAUUUUUUAAAAGUAUCUUGGUGAAUUCAUUUGCUUAAGUUUAUUCUGGCAGGUUCUUCCAACUAUAGUUUACUAUUGUUUCCCUUUGUAUUUAAGGGGAGAUAUUUUAAGACUACAUAGUUAUACUAUUUCUCAUCAAACUUGCACCCAUUCUUUUUAACAUCUAUUGUUAAUACAGUCCCCAAGGAUUUUGAGAUUAUUUUUUGAGUCUCCAUGGUGGGACAGGCCCUCUGUGAACACUGGGUACUGUUACCUCUCAUCCUUUGGGAAGAUUUUUUCCUCUGGACCCAAGUGAUUUCCUCACAGCCAUGCCCUGAUCAGCAGUUAUAUACUCAAGUGGGUCUCUAUGCAGACCUCUAGGUUUCAUUUUCUGCAUAGUUCUGUUCACUCUGGUACUCUGUCCCAAGAACUCUGGCCCCCCCUUACUUUCGCUGGAUUCCUAGCUCAACUCAGGGCAUCCAGUAGGCUCCAAGGGCGCUCCUGUCCCUGCAUGGUACCUGCAAACUCCAUACAGAGUCAGAAUUGGAGUGUUCACCUCACAUCCUCAUCUCUCAGUGAUCACUUUUGUUGCCUGGUGUCCAGUAUCUUGCUUACUUUUUUGUAAUGUGUUUUUUUUUCACUUUUUGGUUCUUUCAGACAAGACAGUAUUUCCAGUUUCUGUACUCAAUCAGUUUAUAUGCCAUUGGUGUCAUUUGUCUCCAGGAAUCUAGUGUUUAGAACUGGCUUCUCCCUGGAGUCCUCUGUCUCCAGAGUACAGGUUGGUUGGUUACCCUUUGACCUCAGAUUUCUGGUGGUUUCAAAGGGAUGCCAUGAAUUUGAAAAUUUCCCAUUGGGAAAGACACUCUUUUCAGCUUUCUGCAUCUUCUAAUGAGAUCAGAAGCCUCUAGUAUUUUUUAUUUCUUACUAGAAACAUUAAAACAACCUUUAAAUGAAAGAGAAAAUGUAAUCGGAACAAACAAAAUGAGUGGCUCCUAUUUUCUUGGAUAUAAAGAGGGUAUCUAACAUUAGCUCAGUCCAUCCUCUUGCUCUCACAUUUGAAAAUUUCUGUAGAGCUAAGAGAAACUCAAAAACAGUCAGUUAUACCAAUACAUCAGUCAAAGUGCUUAAUUAGCACCCAUUGUAAAUAACUGAGAGUCAUAUAGCCUUUAAUAUUAGCCCGAGAUAGAUAUUUUAGCUUUUCGAUUUAAUGAGCUGUUGGAGUAUAUUAAAUUUUGUAAUAUGCCAGUUUAUUCAUUUUAAUUGAAUAAUUAAUUUUUAAAAUGUCAAUUUUAUUCUUGAGAAUAAUAAAAACAAAAGGAACACUGUUAAGUACUGUUGAAAAAUGUAAUAAUAGCACACGUUACUUCAUAGAGAAUAACAAAGACAAGGAUCAAAGGCAAGGGUAG
rnacentral:lncRNA from 9 species